GUAGGUGACAUCAUACCAACGUUAAUGCACCAGAUCCCAUAAGAACUCCGCAGUUAAGUGUGAUUUGGCUAGAGUAGUACUAGGAUGGGUGACCUCUCGAGAAGUUCUAGUGUUGCACGCU
rfam:Picea glauca, whole genome shotgun sequence.